rnacentral:misc_RNA from 1 species
AACGCACAUUGCGCCCGCCGGCACUCCGGCGGGCAUGCCUGUCCGAGCGUCAUUUCAACCCUCAGGCCCACCCUUCCGGGGGAGCGGGCCUGGUGCUGGGGAUCGGCGGCCCUCGCGGCCCCCGUCCCUCAAAUACAGUGGCGGUCGCGCCGCAGCCUCCCCUGCGUAGUAGCACAACCUCGCACCGGAGAGCGGAACGACCACGCCGUGAAACCCCCAAUUUUUUAAGGUUGACCUCGGAUCAGGUAGGAAUACCCGCUGAACUUAA